UGUGUGGGGAUGGCUGGAGUGUGUGGGGAUGGCCGGGGUGUGUGGGGAUGGCUGCGGUGUGUGGGGAUGGCCGGGGUGUGUGGGGAUGGCUGGAGUGUGUGGGGAUGACCGCGGUGUGUGGGGAUGGCCGCGGUGUGUGGGGAUGGCUGGAGUGUGUGGGGAUGGCCGAGGUGUCUGGGGAUGGCUUCCCCAGAGCUUCCCGUGCCGUACUCCUGCCUUGGCUAUCAGUGUUGGCCCGGCUCAGCCACAGCGUGUGUUCUCACUGUAGCAGGGUCAAUCCUGCCCUGCUCCACCUUGGGCACUGUGACAAGGGCAUUGUCCUUCACUCACCCCACUGACCAUGUCACCCUCACACACCGCCCUGCUCACCUGCCAUAUCCCUGCACAUGGCCCUGCCUGGUUCCCACUCUCCUGGCCACUGCAAUAUGCCGGCACCAUCUUGUUCGGGAUCCAACGGAGCCUACCACCUGCUUUUUGAGUGCUCAAGUCUGACCAGCACAACACAGAGUUGGGAACUUGCUGGACAGCUCAGCCUUGUCACUGGAGGGAACUGGAGGAGAUGUGGCAUUCACGGCAGAGCCAAUUAUCCUGCAGUGAACACUGCAGUCAGGUUAGCUGAACGUGGGUGUUCCCAGCGCCAGCCGGCAUCGGAUUCCAGCCCUCCCAGGGGACCGGAGCUCCUAGGCCGCGCUCUGACGAGGGAGACAGGCGUUCCGACAGCAGAGCAGCGCUAGCUACCAACCUCACCAGAAAACACAAGCUGAGGACAGAACCCCUGGCUAAAUAUAGAGCCCAGCUGGGAGAGAAAACAAUGUGGCAUUGCAGAUCCAUCAAAAUUAAGAAUGAAAACGUGAAGGUGCUGCUCACUGCCGACCCCCGGCUGCUCCCGGCGAGCACCGCGUGCCCAGAGGUGCAGCCCGCCGCCAGGAUCCAGCAUGGAAUGGCACAGGAGGGACAGCACUGCUUUUAUUAGCACUUGGCCAUCAGUCAGCAGUCCACACUCCACAAAUAAAUGAACAGGCUGGGUGCAUGUCAUCCCAGUUCACGUGUUACAGAAAUAACGCUGGACUGGAACCAGAGUUAACACAGCUGAGAUUUGGGAUGUGGCUGAUUUGGAGAGGGCAGAUGGCAGGGCCUUGUUGGGCUGUACCUGCUCUUGGAAGCAGACCUGAUUUACAGCUCCAUCCAUCUUCUACACUCUAAUUUCCCUGCUUUAGUAGGUCAGCCUCCUGCUUCAUACGGUACUUCUUUCAGAACAAAUAGACUAGGAGGAAGUCAAGGGUUUGGUGUAUAUUGGAUGGACUGAUUUGGUCACCUUUCCAAGACAAAACCAGUAGAGAAAUAGUAUGAAAAAAGUGAGUGAACCCAGAAGGUGUUUUGUGAAGAUUACUCCCAGAGGACCUGUGAACCAGGCAGUGAUGCUAUGCCAA